rnacentral:lncRNA from 1 species
CUGGAUUCCUAUGGGGCAGUUAUUAAAGCUGAUCCUCCAGUUGCUGGAGUCUCAAUCCAUCACAGAAAAGACAACAGUAGUGUGGAUCUGAAGAUCUCCUCUGCUGCUGUCACUGACUCCGCUCUGUACUACUGUGCUCUGGAGCCCACAGUGAAAGGAAAUCCACUGCAUGCUGUACAAAAAGCUGUUUAAAUAAAACUGAAAAUGAGAGGUGGGGAUGACCGUUUAUGUUUUUUAUCACACAUAUAUUUCCUAUAAAGUUCUUAUAUUAGUAGAUCCUUAAGAAACUGUCAUACUGUGAGAAUGUUCUGUGGUUGAUUAUCACUUUUAUGAGGACAUGAAACGUUUUAUGCAUAACAUAAGGGAGCUCAACAAUUAAAUGAUUGUAUUCAGAAGAACAUCUCAAUAAAAGUGACUCAAAAUCAUAUUAGAUGGUACAUUUUAAAGAACACAGAAAACUUGACAAAAACAUGCUGUUUUGAGCUCCAUCAGAAGGGGGCAACAAUCUCUUUUUUUAUAAACAAAUGUUAAUAAAAAUAACUCAUUUUAAAGCACACAGUAAAGCAGCUGGAUAAAACAUGCUGUUCUGAUCUCCAACAGAGGGGGCAACAUUAUCUCACAAGCUGUUUUAUUUACACCAAACAAGCACCUGAUGUCUAUAAGAAACAGCUGAAAGCACAGAACAUGUUUCAUAUUUCUUUAACCCACACACACAUUAUUCAUACACAACAGAAGUUCACUCAGUCUCAGUGCUGUCAGUCAACCAUCAGCUGCUCUCAUAUUUUCAUUCAUUUCAUAAAACCACAUUCAGCAGAAUUUGGAGUUCAUAAUGAUUAUAUAAUGAAUCAAUUUAAAAAGUAUUAGAAACUAGAAAUCUGAUCUUUAUAGUGGACUUCAGUUAAGAUGGAGGAGAGGCAGAUGAUACUCAUAAUGUUCAUCACAGUUUCAGGCAUUUAUGCUGAUAGAAUUGGACCAAGAGAAGGAGACACUAAUAUAAUCAGAAAAGAAGGAGAGUCUGUGACACUGAGCUGCACAUAUGAAACAACCAGCAAUUAUAUUUAUCUCUUCUGGUACAGACAAUAUCCAAACAGAGAACCAGAAUAUAUACUGUAUAAAGGCGCUCGGUCGCGGAGCAGUGAUGAGGAUAUACCAGAUGGGUUUCAGUCAACUACAUCCCGGACAUUCACUGAACUUACUAUUGUAAAAGCAGCUCUGUCAGAUUCUGCUCUUUAUUACUGCGCACUUGAAGUAGCCCAGUGAUGCAAAGUACCAGAGAAGCUUUACAAAAACUCACAUGAAAUUAAUGCUUUGAAGAGUCUUUAAUCAAUCAGUAUCAAAACACAUCAUGUUUUUAUAAACCACAAACAGUGAAUGUGGUAACAGCUGUGAAUUUAGAAGGUUAAAAAGGUUGCAUAAGGGCAUGUGACUACAAUUCAUAUUGGGUGCCACUCCACCUGUAUCCACAGGAUACCUAUCUAAACAGGGUGUUGCUACUAGGGAUCUGUUGAAACAGUUCCUUCAACAAGCUUAUGCAAGAGCAAGUGGUAGCCCCUGUGUGACAGGCCAAGACUUAGUAUGAUUCUAGGCUCUGUAGCAUCCCUUUAAAUUAAUCUAUUAUUGAUUCCAGGCCUUGAGCUCUACCCUGGGCCCAGGAGUCUGGCCCUAACAGGUAAGCUUGGGUAUGUAGCCUAGGCAUUUGGUCGCAAGGGAAAAUGUCACAGACAGCUGUCUAAAGUCCCGGGUGCAACUCCCAUGUACUCCCCAAGGAAGGUGGUGUGGGUAUACUGUGGGAUGUGGGAAUCCCAAUUUCAUGAUGACUACACAUAAUCUAACCAUCCUGCUUAAUCUCAGAAGAAUUUGUUUUGGAAGAUUUCUUUCCUUUGUCCUCUCUUUUAGAGAUUUUAGAGUUUAGCUCUACACCAAUCAAACACACAUGAACCAGCUAAUCAAGGUCUUCAGGAUUAUUACAAAUAAAUAAAUAAUUGGCGGGUACGCUGAAACAGACUGGAAAUAGAAUUUGCAGGACAGUUCAUCUCCAGGAACAUAGGUGAAGACCUCUGGGUUUGAGUUGAUAUAGGCAGUUAAAGAUUAAGCCUUAUUUUUUUACGUUCCAACAAGAAAGAAUAAAGAAAAAGUAUUUGAGAGUGAAAGUUUUGUGUGGCAUUUUGAGUGAAAUUAUGCUCUAUAUUGAAAGAAUGAGUGGGAUAUAUAAAUACAUAAAGAUUAUCAAUGCUUAAUUAGUCCUUCAGCACACGUAUUCUACUCUUCAAUAGGCUCCACCACUAUUUUCAACGAUCUAUUUUAAUAUCUCACUAACAUGGAUGUUACACCCUUCACGACCAUGUCCUUCUGAGGGGGGUAUAACACUAGUACUGUAUGUUCUCUUAUGAAUUACAGAAGCUGGGCAGCUUUUAAAUUGUGUGUUACACAUGACACUAACCACACCCACAAUAUUAGUACACAAUAUACUGGAUGUCACCACAGAUUCAUUCACACUAUAAAACGAUAUUCAGUUACAGUUUUCUAAUUAUAUCAUUAAUAGAAAUACAUACUACAUCUGGACUGCCAACAUGGAGAAGCAGAUGCUGUUAAUGAUUCUCAUCGUAGUUACAGGUAAAUAAUAUUGAAUCCCACUAAACAUAGUUGUAAGCUGUACAAAUCUCAAUUUAAUGCAAAGCUAACCUCAUCUUGAUGUUUUUUA